rnacentral:tRNA from 1 species
UCUCUGGUGGUCCAGUGGUUAGGACUCCACCUUUUCACUGGGGUGGCCUGGGUUCAGUCCCUGGUCAGGGAA